GACGAACGCUGGCGGCGUGCCUAAUACAUGCAAGUCGAACGCAGUGGGGACGGUUUAGUAACACGUGGGUAACCUCCCAUCAGAGGGGAUAACCAUUGGCAACAGGUGCUAAACCGAUACUGAUGGAUGGACCCGCGGUGCAUUAGCUAGUUGGUGGGGUAACGGCUCACCAAGGCCACGAUGCAUAGCCGACCUGAGAGGGUGAGCGGCCAAACUGGGACUGAGACACGGCCCAGACUCCUACGGGAGGCAGCAGUAGGGAAUCUUGGGCAAUGGGCGAAAGUCUGAUCGAGCCACGCCGCGUGAGUGAAGAAGGUUUUCGGAUCGUAAAACUCUGUUGGUAGAGAAGCGGUAUCUAACGAAAAAGCCACGGCUAACUACGUGCCAGCAGCCGCGGUAAUAC
rnacentral:rRNA from 1 species